GUAUAAUUGAAUUAAAUGCGAUAAAACAAAACAAUUCCAACACAUAUUUCAAACAUUCCAACAAUCCACCAAUUCUAAAUUUUGCCUACUCGAGCCUAGUGCUUGCCUACCCGCUCGAUGACAUAUCACGUUCAACAUCAACAAUGAAUCAAAAUACUAUAAUAUUCACUUUUAUCAAUUUUCGAUUCCCAUUCCCCAAAUAAUCAAUUUUAAUCCUCCAUGAGAUAUUAUUUCAUCACACACCUUAUAAUUAAUCCAUAAUCAAGGAAAUCAAACACCAAAUCUAAACAAACAAUAAUUUACAUCACCACGGAUUAAUCAACACACCGAAUUCAAUUCAAAGCAUAGAACACGAUAAAUAACGAAAUAAAAAAGAGAAAGAAGAGAAUUAGACCUCGAUUCAAAGGUUUUGAAAUUCAAUAACACUUCAACGAAAGGACAGAAACCAUGCCGAGGAACCUUGAAUCGAACCUCAACAAAGGACUCACCAACUCCGUACUAAAUCAACCGCAAGAAUCCCAAAAUUUGACCCGAACACGAAUUCACGAAAGCAAACCUGCAACCCAAAGCAAAGAUCACAAAGCCCUACCAAUCGUACCUAAUUAGCAUACUCCGUUACUAUUUUUGGUUGCUUUCCAACGGAUGGUCGUCGGAAUCGACACUGGAGGUCGGAUUCAGUGGCUUCCCAGCAUGCUUCGGUCACUGUUAUAGCGUCACCGGAGCUUCGGCGAGCUUAACAGUGGAGGCGCUGCUCUCCUCCGCCCUGAAUCGUAUCUCGUUCGAUCUCUCUCCUCUCUAUCCCUCUCUCGUGGUUCUCUGCUCUCUCUCUCACUUUCUCUCGCUGCUUCUCUCUCUCUUUCUCUUGCUUUGUUUCUCUUCUCUCUCAAUCUCCCUCCAAUUUGAGUAUGUUGCUAUUCAGCCAAUGGAAUGGCGAUGGGUAUCCAAAAAUGGAAAAGAAAAAUCUCUGAUGAUGAAGUUUUUGGUCUUUGUAUAUGUAUCUUGUUCGAUCGAAAAGGAAAAAAGUUGAAGACCCUUAUCUGUAUAAUAUUGUAUCUCCCUUCUUGUGAGAAUUGAAGUCGGUUCUUUUGUUUUGAGAGUGAUAGUGAGUAUCCCCUCUAGGGAAUAUGCUUCUGGGUCCUUUUAUUUGCUUUGUGGACAGAAAUAAAAAGGAGAGGUCACGUGGAGAGGGAGUGGUGAGGGUGAUGUGUCAUUUUUUAAUAGGAAGGGGUUGUUAGAAUAAGAUAAAAUUAGUUAGGAAUUGUUAUUUUUUGUCUUUUUGUGAAGGGGUUAUCACACGGGUGAGGGCACACACUAAGAUGAGGGUAAAAUGGUAAGAAUGCUUUCGGGGAGGGACAAAAUUAUGUGUCUACAUCAUGUCCCUCUUUGCAGGUAAACACAAAGUGUUUUUAUACAAAGAAGUAGACAAUGAGAUAGAAUUUUGACCCGAUCAUUAUUCACAGGAAAGAAACAAAAGGAAGAAGGACGACCGAGUUGGAGAGUUCAGUGAGGUCCCGUCGAGGCUCCGGUCCGCGGCUCUGUCAUUACAUCAAAAAUGAAAAUUACAAGUUAAAACAUAAAUGAAAUUGCAAAAAUCCUAUCUAUACAGCUUCUGUUGGACUCCUGACUUAAGUUUCAUCACCCUAUUCUUCAGGCGGGNNNNNNNNNNNNNNNNNNNNNNNNNNNNNNNNNNNNNNNNNNNNNNNNNNNNNNNNNNNNNNNNNNNNNUAAUUUCUUCACCCUGUUCUUCAGGCGGGCUCCUGACUUGCUAUUUUUCAAUCCGUUAACUUUUAUAUUUUAACCUUGUUGCUUUGUUUUCAACUUCUUCAACUUGUUGCUUGACUUUUCAUUUAUUCACCUUGUUCUUCAAGCGGACGCCUGAAAUCACAUCAAAACUAAAAGAACAUUAUCCCAAACAAGAAUUAUUAUAAAGAGAAAUUUCGUUUGCCAGAAAAGUAAAGUUCAAAAAAAAGAAUUAAAUUUUUGCCCCAGUUUAUUAUCAGAAGACUUUUGGGAAAGUCACAUCAUACCUACUUGCAUGUUGUAAUGAUGAAUUAAGACUCUGACCAAGAAAUGCAUCUCUUGAGAGUAAAAUUGAAUAACCAAGCCUAGGAAGUGUGUCUCCUAAGAAUUAAAGUGAGGGAUUCUAACUAGAAAGUGCGUCUUCUAGAUAUACAAGUUUAAGUUAAAAAGUGUGUCACCUAACAAAUGAAAACUAGCAAGAAAGUGCGUCUCCAAAGGAUUAAGUGCAAUAACUCGACUAGAAAGUGCAUUUUCUAGAAAUCAAGGGGACUGCUAGGAAGUGUAUUACCCAAAAGAAAAGUUCGAAUUACCCAAUCAAAGAAAUGUAUCUCCUUACCAAUAUUGCUUGAAUUAUCAAAAUAAGGAAGUGCAUCUCCUUAUCAAUGCCGCUUGAAUUACCAAACCAAGGAAGUGCGUCUCCUUACCAAUGCCGCUUGAAUUACUCAAACAAGGAAGUGCGUCUCCUCACAAAUGUUUCUUGAAUUAACCAAACAAGGAAGUGCAUCUCUUUACAAAUGUUGCUCGAAUUGCCCAAGAAAGAAAGUGCGUCUCCAAUGUUUCUUGAAUUACCAAAACAAGAAAGUGCGUCUCCUUUGGAAGUGUGUCUCCUUACAAAUGUUGCUUGAAUUGUCCAAACAAGGAAGUGUGUUUCCUCACAAAUGUUGCUGGAUUUACCAAAUAAGGAAGUGCGUUUCCUUUAAAAUAUUGCUGGAAUUACCCAAACAAGGAAGUGCGUCUCUUUACAAAUAUUGCUAAAAUUACCAAAACAAGGAAGUGCGUAUCCUUACAAAUGUCGCUUGAAUUACCAUGGGUUUGAAUACCAAAUAUGUGCAGCAACAUUGCCUUUUGUAUUUGUAGAAGUGAGAAUAUUACGGCCCUUGAUGUUUAGGGUUUGAAAUCCUUGAUUCGAAGGUAGCAUGUGUUCCUAUUUCAUACAAAGAAAACUUAUUAGUUUAAAAACAUGGUGGUUGGUUUGUGACUUUGGCUUUUGUGGAAAUCACUCUUGUCCCUGUCACAUUUAAUCUUGCUUUCAACCAUUAGAAUGUGUCAUUGACCUGCUGUAUCAUUGACCCGAACUCAGAUUAUUAAGAGUAACUCUGAGACAAAUAAAGUAUCUCAGCUUUGUCAAGCUCCUCAGAUACGCCCUUUAAACCUUGGUAUUUCCAUGAGUUCCCAGACUUUUCUAUUAACAAAAUUUUUGUAUGCCUUAUUUCGGCUCACAAUCAUGUCUUUUGCAUGUGCUGGCCCUUUUGUCUUGCUUUGUGCAAUUGAAGAAGCUGGUAGCCAGUUUUGAGAUCUUUUCUCACUUGUUUUGACACGAACUUGACUUAAAGAAAAGAGAGAAAAAAAGAAAAAAAGAAAAAAAUAACAAUAAUUUUAUUUGGACAACUGACUAAAGAUAAUAAAAAUAAAAAUAAAGAGAAGAAAGAAAAGACAAUGAAUGUCCCUAUUUGAAAUAAAGAAAUGAAAAUUUUUUCGAGAAACGACAGUCAACUCUAAUGAUUAUGUCAUGCAUUUUGGAUCAAGCUACCAGAUCUUUCCAUCAAAUUUUCUACCAAUUAUUGUUGAGUGAAUGGCUCUGAAACUAAGUUACUUGCUUGAACCCAUUGCAUUCGAAGAACUCAUUCGGCUAGUGGCACAUUGAAGGAUUUUUGCCAACAAGCCUCUCUCAUUUUUACUCAACUCGCCAUCGCCUUAUGGUGCCCGUGAGUGUUUUCACCAAUGACUCUCAUUCUUAUCUAUCUCAACUUACCAUCGCCUUAUGGUGCCCGUGAAGGUUUUCACCGAUAAGACUCUUUCAUUUUUAUUUCUCUCCUAAUUUCUUAUGCUGAGGAAAACGAGUAGUUCCUAAAAUAUGUAAUCACAUCAAUUGCGUGCUUACCCUUAACAUUCUCAAAGAUUGAUCCGAAGGUCUUUCUUUGGUUGUAACUUAGCUUUUGGAUAGGGCUAGAAAGAAAGGAUGGCAUGGGGCCCAAACGACAAUUGAAGUGGGGUGGGACUUAAAACUUUUGAAAUCGACUCAAACAAUGAGGAUUAACUUAUGCCCCAAUUUCUUUUGACUGGGUAGCGCUAAAUUAUUUAUUUGGUUGGACCAGCCCUUAGUAGGGCAGCCUACGUAUCUCACCCCCGAGAGAGGAGAAUCAGGUCAUGCGUAGUUUUGGCAGCUUGUUCUUUUGCUUUGAUCUGAUUUUUAUUUUUUUUUAUUCGCUCUUUUCACUUUGUGAUUCUUUAUUUCUAACUUUAUUUUUCUUGACACUCUUUUUUUUUGGAAACAUUUUUGUAACUUUUUGACUUUAUCUUUUUACUCGACACUAUUCUUUGAACUUUGUUUACUCUAUCUUGAUUCCAAAAGAGGGGUUUGAAAGAAAAUAACACUAAGGCUCAAAUGGGGUAAACAAAGGAUGACACAAUAUUUGGAUAGCAGAAUGAAAUGCCUUCAUCAUAUCAAUCCUUGAGAAUGCAAGUACAUAACAUGCAAUUGGAAGUGAGAGAUGAAGAUCAUUUGCGACAUCUUUUUAAGAAGAUUGAGUUUGUACAUUUCUCACAUCAAAUGACUCAUGCUUUUGUGGAGCUGCUUAUCUUUUUGUUUCUCUUGAUAUAGGGAUCAUACGUCCACUAUUUGACCUAAUUGAGACUUGCCUUUCGAUCGAUGACCAAGUUGUUCUUGUGAUUCUCAAAAUAAUUUCCUUAACUUGUCACCAAAUGUCUUAGCACUCUAUCUAUUUUCUCAUAUGCUCUCUUUUUCUAACUUUAACCCUCUGAUUCAAUUUUUAUACUUAAACUAGAUUUUAAGAUUUGGUUAAAAAUUUCACUAGCAUGUUAUAUCACUAGAGUCAACAGAAAAUGUACUAUGUAAAGAAAACAAACAAACAACACAUAUUUAAAACACAAAGGAAAAUGAGACACUUCAUUUAGUCAAAACAAAAGAUAGAAGGGUUUGAACAUAAACAACAAAAGGACAAAACAAGACAGAUCCCGAACUACAACCCUGAAAUAAUUCGGAGAACAGAAAAUAAAACAAAAUAAGCUACCAAACCCCUUCCUAGUAAGGAGAGGGGUGACUUCUCAAUUGCUCAGCCUGACAUCUUAGCCACUGAUUUCCAUAUCAGCAUGACUAGAGCUUCCCUCACUGUCAAUGUUCUGCACCAUGAUUGAUUUAUCUUGAAUCAUCUUUUCAAUUUCUCUUUUCAAAGCACGAUAAUCCUCAAUACUGUGACCCUGAACAUCGGAAUGAUAUGUACAUCAUACAUUAGGAUCAAAACUUCUUGAAUGUAGGUCAGGAGUAUACCCAAGAAGAGAAGUGAUCAUGCCCUGCUGUACCAAUCUAUGGAAUAAACUUGCAUACGACUUUCCAAUGGGUGUGAAGCUAUCCCUCGACUUCUGUCUCAUUUCAUUAUUUGGCUUAAAUUAAAAACCAGGCCUAGAAGGGCUUUGGUAUAUAUGUUAAGUUGGAGGAUGACUCGGCAGAGAUGGCGCAUGCCAGUGUGGGUAAGAUGGAGGUUGAACAUAAGGUUGCGCAUUAUACACUUGAUAUGGAGGUGGGGGAAUGUGAUAUAAUGGAUUUUGGUAAAGAUUUUGUGGAGCUUGGGCAUAAACUUGGGUUUGAGCCCAUGGGUAACGAUGGUGUGGUCCUCUUGCCCAUGCCUGUUGUCCAACUGCAACGGCACAUGCAUCUUCCUCAUUUUUCUUUCCUCCCACACUUUCUGAACCUUUUUGAAUUGCUUGAGUAGUCACUUUCAAUGUUGCAAAAAUCACAAUGCGACCAUUCUUAAUUCCAUCCUCUAUCAUCUCCCUCAUUUUGAGAGCCUCAAUAAAUGGCUUGCCUAAUGCAGGUAACAAGUGUUGAUAAUAUAUUUCAUCCUGCGCUUGAAUAAACGCCUCCACUAUCUUACUUUCUUUCAUUGGCGGUUUCACCCUAGCAGCUUGUUCACGCCAUUUAAUUGCAUACUCUCUGAAGGUUUCAGUAUACUUUUUCUUUAUAUUAGUCAAGGAUUUCUCGUCAGGAAUCAACUCUAUAUUAUAUUGAAAUUGUUGCAUGAAUUCAUUAGCCAGGUUAUCCCAGCUAUUCCACUUGUCGAUGUCUUGGUCAACAAACCAUUCUGAAACUAGACCUAAAAGACUCUCACCAAAAUAUGCCAUGAGUAAUUCUUCAUUCCCUCCAGGGCCCCUUAGCUGGUUGCAAUAGCGUCUCAAAUGUGCUACAGAAUUGCCAUGUCCAUCAUACUUCUCAAACUUCGGCAUUUUAAAACCAAGAGGAAGAUGUACGCUUGAAAACAUGCACAGAUCUUUAUAUGAGACACUUUUGUAUCCCCUAAGUCCUUGCAAGUUUUUCAUUCUCAGUGUUAGGAGAAAAUUCAGGCGGUUGAGGGCAAUCGUAAGGACCAGUCGACUUAAAUGUGGGCUCGCGAGCGUAAUGCUGAUCACUAAAAUUAUUCAAUACAGAGUCGCUUGUAGAGUGAGGAAUCACAACCGUUGGAUUGACAUUAAAAGUAGGAGCUUCAGACAGGAGUGACGCUGCAAAAGUAUGAAUAGCAGGCGGAGCCGAGCAUGUGGUAAUUUUGUAUUGAGGAGUGAGGAAAUGAAUAUUGGAAGUGUUUGGAUACUGUUGCCCCGGAGUAGGUCCUGAUACAUGUUGUGGCGUGUCGACCAAAAUAGAAAAUUGUGCAUGUGACAAUGGAGGCAAACUAGAAAGAUAUUCUAGAUUAUCUGCGGGAAAUGGAGGAGGCGGCAACCCAUUAGCCCAAGCUCGAUGCAUUUCUAUCAUUUGCUGUCUCAAUUUCCGAAUCUCUUCAUUAGCUCCUACAUUCUCAUUCCCCAAACUCCCUAUCUGAUUAGUGACAACAAACUAGGUAUCCUUGUUGGCCAUAACUUUCUCUGUGACUUGGAGUAAUAUGGAGGACCAGCCAAAAUGACACAAACCAACCACCUUAAACUAACUGGACAAGAGAUAGAAAAUGCGUUAGAUUUCAACGAUUUUUCAAAACCUCUUCUUUUUUUUUUUUCUUAAAAAAAAUCACCGAACCCUAGAAGGGAGCCUACAUAUCUCACCCCCGAAAGUGGAGAAUCCGGUGUGCAUAGUUCGUGAAGUUUUGCCAAAAUGGCCAAUUAAACUCUUUUUUCUUUCUUGAAACAAAGUGUCAAAAGAAUUGGCGAAAAUCAUUUUGCAUUUUUGUUUUAGGUUUAAAUCUCUAUACAAAAUGAAACAAGUGAUUACCAAAGAAAAAUCUUUUUGGAUUUUUGAUUUUUGAAUUUCAUGUGAAAAUGAAACUUGAACCUAUUAAAGGAAAAUCUUUUUGUAGUUUUCUUUUAAAGACGUAUAUGAAACGCCUACUCUAAGUGGAGAGUGAAGAAAUAUUUUUAAUGAUUAAAUAACAGGCUAGACCCUGACUUAAGAGAUACGACCAAAUACAGAUGAUGAACCAUGUUAAUAAAAUCUUUUGAGUUUUCAUUUUGAUACUUCACAAAAAAAUGACAUCAAAAACUAUGAAAGAAAAAUCUUUUUGGUAUUUUCGUUAUACGAAAUGUAAAAAAUUUCUAACAUUUUUUGUUUUUUGCAUUUUUCUUUUAUAAACACAUCCUAUGAAUGAAAAAAUCUUUUUGAAGUUUUCGAAUUGUGAAUGCAUGCUAAACGAGACAAAGGAAAAUCUUUUUGAUGUUUUUGAGAAAAUGAGUGCGAGAGGUAAAAAAGUCCUUUUGAAUUUUGGAAUUGUGAAAAAUAUAAGCCAUAAAAAACUCUAAAAACUACGAAACUCUUUUUUUUUCUUGUUUUUUUUUCAUUACCCACACACUUUACUUCUAACACAUGUUUUUCCCAAAUUAGUUCGUCAAAUGACCACGUUAUCCUCAAAGAUGUAACAUUUAGCACGUAGGGUUGCUUUAGAGGUGAGUCUCCUACAAAGGACCAAGUGGGCUCCACUAGGUCUCAAUAUGAUGCACAUAAGCAUGACCUAAAGACUGACCUACGUUUGGAUUCACUAACAAAGCUGUUCGGGGGAACGUAUGGUCGAUAGUGGCUGGGACAGCUUUCCACCUACUCCAUAACACCGACGGCUCUCCCCCUAAAAUAAGGGUGACUUAACUAGAGGUCAUGUACAACACGGGUACUACGGACUUGUUGCAGAAAGAAGGUUGGGGGUAGACACAUGAUACCAGAUAUAAAAGCGGUGACACAUAGGAUAAAUACUGUACACAAAGAGCACGAAAACAUUCCAUAAUGAUAAAACAAUAACAGAAAACAACACACAAAAAAAAUGUUUAUACACCUAUAGUGCCAAACAAAGCCGAUACGACUCCAAAAUAAGCUCGGAUUCUGAACAAGUCCCCCGCAAAGUCGCCAAAGCUGUCACACCCACUUUUCAACAUCCAAAAAGAUUCGUUUUAAGUUUCGAAAGGGCUUUUAUUAAAGUGACCAAAAAUAAAAAUUUUGUUUCGAAAAGGAUUAUUUAUAUUUAAACUCAGAGUCGCCACUUGGCAUAAUCUGGUGUGCCAAGUCACCGUUGAAAAUCCUUUUUUGAAAAAUAAUUUUGACUCUUUUAAACUGAUUUGUGAACAGAGAUUCCGACUAAGGAAUUCUGUUGACCGAGGGAAAGGUGUUAGGCACCCCUCGGUCCCGUGGUUUGACCACGGUCACUUGGUGGAACAUAUUGGCUAAUUUGAUACUACGAAUGUAUAAAAUACAUAAAACACGUAAAACAAUCAAACGACAAACAAAACAAAAUGAGUAAAAAAUAUAAUGUCCAGUCCGAGUUAUACAGUCCAAAAUAGAAAAAAAUAUGAGAAUAAACCCUAUCUAACUUACAGUAAUCCUAACUAUGCUCCCGUGCUUUACCCGAUGCCUCGGGCCUUCAUCACGAACCUCCUUUUCGUACAUGAUACGUCGGGGCAUUCCCCGGUGAAGAUACAAGUACCUCGAGGCAUUCCCCGGCCAAAUGAGUAUAAUUGAAUGAAAUGCGAUAAAACAAAACAACUCCAACACAUAUUUCAAACAUUCCAACAAUCCACCAAUUCUAAAUUUUGCCUACCCGAGCCUAGUGUUUGCCUUGCCGCUCGAUGACAUAUCACGUUCAACACAACAAUGAAUCAAAAUACUAUAAUAUUCACUUUUAUCAAUUUUCGAUUCUCAUUCCCCAAAUAAUCAAUUUUAAUCCUCCAUGAGAUAUUAUUUCAUCACACACCUUAUAAUUAAUCCAUAAUCAAGGAAAUCAAACACUAAAUCAAAACAAACAAUAAUUCACAUCACCAC
rnacentral:lncRNA from 1 species